ensembl:lncRNA
AAUCCUUUGUUCUUGUUCUCAUUUAGUUGGGAUGAAUGGGAUGCUGGUGGAGAAACGGCUACAGUGGAUGAGAUGUUUGUGAAGACACGAGACCUAUUACGGUAUAAAGUCCUGGAAUAAAUCAAUGUCAUCUUUGUCUUCAGCUCGGCCUUCAUAUAUAAAUCACUGGACUCUUUAUCCUCACAGUUAAACACAAUCAGUGCAUUUAUAAUUUAAAUGUAGCAACAAAUGUAUUACAAAAUGUAGCAAACAGAUUAAGUAAUAACUGUUCUUUUUGCUGUAGGCAUCCUCUAAGUGGGAACUCCAGCAACACUUGAGGGAAGAUGAACAACUUUAAUUAUAGACCAACGCCCGAAACGGGAAUUCUUUUAUCCUUUCCAUGCACCUUGGAAGCAGGUGAAGUUGUGCCAGAAAAUUCUUUUUGCUGCGGCAUCCUCUAAGUGGCAAACAUCAUAAAGAAAAUAUUUAUACACUCUAAUAUUUUACCUUCUGUUUCUGUUGUUAGUUCAAACAUUUUCCUUUAGAAAAAUUGCACCUGUUUGAUCCUUUUUUAAGUUGCUACUAUUUAAGUUUAGUCAAAUUUCCUGCAUUUGGAAAUCCUGCCAAAAAUACUUUUACACAUCAAUCUGAUUUUAUCUCUACAGGUCCUGUUGAUUUUUCAUCAAACGGAAGCUCGACGAGUUGUCAGCUCAAAGUAUCCAAGAGGGGGACAUGUAGAGUGUGAAAUAAUUUCAUGUUUGAUGGUGUGAUCUCAUACCGCUACCUCCAUCUGAAAAAAAGAAUUAUGAAACAUGCUUGAUUUUUUUCCUCUGUUGCUCUGAUGUGGUUAUUGCACAAUGCUUUUGGUUCUUUGAUGUUCUUGCAAAGUUCUGCCAUCUCUUUUAUGUAAGCCUUUGAAGUAGAGCUAGUUGCACUGCAUAGUGAUAUGCUGCACUGUUGCUCUGGCAGUGUGGUCACAGUGUGAUACUGCAGCAGUACUGGCGUUCAUUUUAAUAUUACUAGUUUAACUAUUCCAUUUGAUGUCUCUUU